rnacentral:tRNA from 1 species
GAAAAUUUAGUUAAUUUAUAAUAUUAAACUGUCAGUUUAAAGUAAUUUAUAAUAAAUAAUUUUCU